UAGGUUCAGCUUGUCUGGUUCAAGAGCAAGGGGAAAUGACGUCGAUUACUGACUGGCUCGUCUCCCUUCUAGGGGUCUCAAGGUCUUAGCCCUAUAGCCCCAAGAGCCUGGAUCUGGCUUUCGUAUCCUUUUCCACUUUACCUCAAUGACAACAGACACACUUCCCCGUCAUUAUAGGACCGUGAUAUUGUUGGAAUCACAGAGUACGUGGUCUGUACAGAUUGGCUUCUUUUACUCAGUAAGAGCACCUGCUCCGCCCUCCACAUUAGGUCAGGCCCUGUGGACACUAACGAGGCACGUGGAGGGGUUGGCAUCUGCUGUGACUGGAUCUGAGAUAUCCCCCAAGGCUGGUGUGUGGAAGGCUUUGUCCCCAAACCAACCGUGUUCAGAGAACUCAAGAGAAUACAAGAGCUGAGAGACACGAUGGGACCCCCUGGAUUCCUGGGCCACCGUGACAUCAACUUGGUGCUGUACCUUGGAUCCUUCUCUGGAUGACAGGAGUCAUCUCUCUGAGGUCCAGACGAGAAGUCUGGUUUUCCUCUGUGCUCACUUCAACUGUUAAAAAAAAAAAACCAAAAAUUUAAAUGCAAUGCAACUUCAAGUUAUGCUAAAGCUUUUUUGUUCCUGAAUCACAGUAAACGUUGACUUCUUUCCCUCCCCAGUUUUACUUACAAUCAUACGGAGAUGUGUCUGUAAGUGAGACUCAGGAUUCUCAAGGGCCAGCAACAGAAACUGAUUCUAGCUGCUGUGAGCAGAAGAGGAAUUCACUGGGGGAUGAAAAUGACCAACUUAAGUUAUGUGUAUGCAUGAAUAUGUCACAGUGAGUCCCACUGUUAUGUAUAUUAUGAUACAUCAAUAAUUUUUAAGAAAGAACUAUUAGAAGUACACCAGGAAGCUCACAGAAGUCGAGGGAGGGCUAGAGAACCUGGGUGUGAGGCUCAGCCAGCGGCAACCAGUCCCCAAACCCUGCCCCAGAGCAGCAGGUGCCACUGUGUGUGCCAUCCCAAGGUCAAGGCCACUCUCCCAGCCUCACCCCCUGCUGUGGAGGCUGCUCCUGACAGGCUACCACUAGCACUAAAGGGAGGGGGAGCCCCUCUGCCCUGGUGCCUGCUCAUGAGUUCUAGACCCAAGUACAGAGCAUCCAGGAAAGGGAGGGAUGGCAAGGGAGGCAGGAAGCACUCUCUCUCUGUCACCAAGAUUCCCAAGAAGGUGUGAUGGGCUGAAUUGUGUCGCCGCAUAUUUGGGUGUUGCAUCCCGACUUCCUGGCCCCCAGAAUGCCACUAGGUUGGAACAGAGUACUUAAAGAGGAUGCACACACGAGGGAAGACCUCCAGGACUCAGCCAGAAGGCGCUCUCUGCAAGCAGGAAGAGAGGCCCAGGGUAAAGCUGCUCUGCUGACACCUUGGACUUGGACUCCACCCUCCAGACGAGAGAAUGAGUGCCCAUUGCCAAAGCCACGCUGGUGUGCCUCUGUGCAGCAGCUCUAGCAGGCCAAUGCGGAGGGAGGUCUAGAGCUAGGACAUGCAGAGCCCAAGGCAGAAGGCGGAUACACCCCGUGCUCUCCCUCCGGCAGCCACUCUUUAGUGCCCCACAGGCCGAGUCAAGAUUCGCUGAAGCCAUGCUCGGGAGGAUGAGGAAGACAGUGUUGGGAUUCUCCCUGUGGGUGACCUUGUGUACCCCUUCUGUUCCCCACGGAGAAGCCUGUGGAUCCCACUUGCUGAGAGUUUGUAGCUCUGGGGGUUUGUGUUUCCCCAGCUUGCACAUCUCUGCUGGGCCUCUUUUCCCUUUCCUUUCCACUGUUGGUACCAGCCUCUUGUGCAGCCAUGUGCACAGGAAUGGGGACAGAAGACAGGGGGCCUGCAGGGCCCUACCCCUUGCUGUCAGGGACAAGUGAUCAGCCA